GUUCAUAAUUCCAAGGACAAAACUCUUAAGAGUAAAAAGAAAAUCGAAAUAUACGGUUCGGCGGUCUUAAUAGUGCCUAUAUAAAAUAUAACAAUUUUUCAAAUCCUAAUAAGCAAAUAAGUAUGAAUCUUCUACAUAUUAUAUAACGUAACAUUGUAUGAUGUCGGUGAAAAUAUCAAAAAAAUUGGACGUUUUUGGCGGAGGCCUUCGUGUAAACAUUGGAAACCGCCCGGAAACUUCCAAAAAGUAUAGUCGUGUAGUGCGUGGCGUUUGGUGGGAGCGAGUUAAUGGCGCCCGGAGCCCUUGACAUUGUCGUGCCUGAAUUGCCUAAUCGGAACGCCGGCCAAAGAAUCGGUUUCGACUGAACGACUAGUAAACGCACGCCGCAGCUAUACUAUUAAUAUUUAUUAUUAUUAUUAAAAUGUUUUACGCGGUUUUAUGAUGUUCAUUGCUACUUAAUUUUCAAUACG